AGCGGGAUGGAGCAGAGGUAGCUCGCUUGGCUCAUAACCAAGAGGUCGGGGGUUCGAAUCCCUCUCCCGCAA
rnacentral:tRNA from 1 species